rnacentral:rRNA from 1 species
CCGGGGCUUCUUCUGCAGGUACCGUCAUUAUCUUCCCUGCUGAGAGAACUUUACAACCCUAAGGCCUUCAUCGUUCACGCGGCAUGGCUGGAUCAGGGUUGCCCCCAUUGUCCAAGAUUCCCCA